rfam:TPA: Bos taurus chromosome 15, whole genome shotgun sequence.
UCCCUCGUGGCUCAGAUGGUAAAGAAUCUGCCUGCAAUGCAGAAGACCUGGGUUCGAUCCCUAGGUCAGGGAG